rnacentral:snRNA from 1 species
UUUGCGAUGGCAAAAGCUAAU